rnacentral:rRNA from 1 species
GGGAUGAACCCGCGGCCUAUCAGCCAUGUUGGUGAGGUAGUGGCUCACCAAGGCGACGACGGGUAGCCGGCCUGAGAGGGCGACCGGCCACACUGGGACUGAGACACGGCCCAGACUCCUACGGGAGGCAGCAGUGGGGAAUAUUGCACAAUGGGCGAAAGCCUGAUGCAGCGACGCCGCGUGAGGGAUGACGGCCUUCGGGUUGUAAACCUCUUUCAGCAGGGAAGAAGCGAAAGUGACGGUACCUGCAGAAGAAGCGCCGGCUAACUACGUGCCAGCAGCCGCGGUAAUACGUAGGGCGCAAGCGUUGUCCGGAAUUAUUGGGCGUAAAGAGCUCGUAGGCGGCUUGUCACGUCGGGUGUGAAAGCCCGGGGCUUAACCCCGGGUCUGCAUUCGAUACGGGCUAGCUAGAGUGUGGUAGGGGAGAUCGGAAUUCCUGGUGUAGCGGUGAAAUGCGCAGAUAUCAGGAGGAACACCGGUGGCGAAGGCGGAUCUCUGGGCCAUUACUGACGCUGAGGAGCGAAAGCGUGGGGGAGCGA